rnacentral:misc_RNA from 1 species
GAUGAAGAACGCAGCGAAAUACGAUAAGUAAUGUGAAUUGCAGAAUUCAGUGAAUCAUCGAAUCUUUGAACGCACAUUGCGCCCCUUGGUAUUCCGAGGGGCAUGCCUGUUCGAGCGUCAUAUUAACCACUCCCGCUUGCGGGGUCUUGGGCUUCGCCUCCGGGCGGGCCUUAAAAUCAGUGGCGGUGCCGUCGGGCUCUACGCGUAGUAAAUUUUCUCGCGAUAGGGUCCCGGUGGAUGCUUGCCAACAACCCCCAACUUCUUAAGGUUGACCUCGGAUCAGGUAGGGAUACCCGCUGAACUUAAGCAUAUCAAUAAGCGGAGGA